GGAGUAUCCAAGCCCAAAGCUGCCCCUCCUCAUAGCGGAAGCUUAAACAGUGGUGCUGACAAGCAAGCGAAUCUAGUCACCUUUGGGGGACUGAGCUGUGCCCCCACAGAGCAUAUUUAGAGGUUCUACACCA